UAUUCAAUCAGGCACGAACGACCCAGAUUGCAUCGCGAUGGACGGCCCAGAUUUAAUCCCAAUUAAAUCGCGAUCGAACGGUCCAGAUUUAAUCUUGAUGGACGGUUGAGAUUAAAAGGCAAAGGGUAUAAAUAACCCCACUCACACCUGACCACAAAACCCUAGCCGCCAGUGCCUCGCCGGAGAAGAAGAACCAGACGCCGGAGGAGCCGGCCGCCGCCACCCGCCGCCACACCGGGGAAGUUUUCGACCGCCGAUCGAGGUAAGUUUUCUCCACCUGGCUCGUUUUUCGAUGCUAAGUCCGCCUAUGGUCAAACCGGAGCCAAACCACCGGCCAAACGGCCGAAAAACCCAGCCGAAGUCCAGCCGCGCCGCCACGACCCCCCUCUAUUUUUGCCUCCGAUGGGGCUCUUCCCGGCCUCCAUUCGAUGCAAAUUUUAUACCAUUAUGAUCACCGUUCUUUUCUCUAUAGGUUGAUCGAAGCUAAACAUCAAAACGUGACUCAUGCCCGAAGAGCCGCCGCACCCGAGAGCACAGCCACCGGUAAGUCUCGGUUUUUUGUGAUUUUUUGGCCCCCCGAGGGCCCUAGGGUUGUUUUAUCGCAGGGACCGAUGCAAGUGUGGCCGAAUUCGGCCAAAAACGGCCAACCCGAGGUGGAUUACCGGAGCACAACGGAGCCGCCGUGCCGAAAUUUCGAUAUUGGCCGAAAGGGGCCCUAGGUCUGAUUUGGGAUUUUUUGGGAUACGUGCAGGUACCGGUAGUGCGUUUCAGUUUUCUGAAAAAAAUUCAAAGAAAUUAGUGACAGCCUGUAGGCACAUUGUAGAGUCGAAUUCAGACCCCGGAACAAAUAAGGACCCCUCACCCUAUUUCCUAUCACGAUAUUAAAGCUAAAUAAAUAAUUAAACUGUACUGUGUGACUUUAUAGAUGUAUAAUUGAUUAAGAUUGCCAGUAGAGCCCGAGUCUGAUACAGUGUUGGUCUGUUAUUGUUUGAUCUAAUUUCCAGUAUUAAAUGCAGCAUGAUGUUUGAUGAAAUUAUGUUAUGGUCUCAUAUGCAUGAACUAUGGUUUCUUUUAUUAUGGUUUAUGUUAUGGUGAACCUGAUACUGUAUUGUCUUAUUUGGUGUCAAUUACUGGUUUACAUGUUGUGUAUGAUUGGAUGAUUGAGAUUAAGAAAAAAUGCAAAAAGGUUAUGUGAAUUGAUAAUGAAAAAAUGUGGACAGCCUAACUAGAUAUUCUGGGAGAUGGUGGACGAACUGGGUCCGUAGGGAACCCUACCGGGAACGUGGUCUCUCAUACUGGACGGGGUAUGGAGACCUUAUGUGUUUUGGCGUCCAUACCGGACGGGGUAUGGGGACGGCCCGUUUCACCCUCAUACCGGACGGGGUAUUGAGGUUCAUGGUUUUGGCGCCCAUACCAGACGGGGUAUGGGGACGGCCCUGGAAUCAUGUUGUAAGUGUUAAUGGUUCACGUGUAGCGGGGACCCCCUAUGGAUCCCCAAGGAUACUAAUAGACUAGUAAAAGAGGAAAUCUGUUUUCUGAUGAUUGAAAUAUAAAGGUAUGAUAUGUGUUAUGUUAUAAAGUGUGUAUGAUUUCAUGAUAUUAUAAGGUUGGUGUUUUCAUAUGUUGUUUUCAUGGAUCUCACCGAGGUAAGUGGAUAGUAAAGAUUUUUAUGUUAAUAAAUGAGUUCAUUAUAAAUUAUGCUCAAUUGGUCAUUUUUGUUUUCUACCCACCUUUACUUCCGUGGCGGUGAGAUAGUGUGAUGUCUUUACUAGGAUGGUGUAGCUCAUUCCUUAUUUAACCAUUUCAGAUCAGGAAGACAUUAUUCCCGACUCCGUUCCGUAGGAAGACGGUGAAGGGGACUCUUAAAGACUUCAUAAUUAUAUUUAUAGUUCUUAUUUCGAGUAUCUCUUUUAGUUAGUUUGUUCCUUCAUAUUUUGAGUACGUUUUGGUUAUUGUGUAAGGGAUGUUAAUCAAAAUUUUUAUUACGCUUCUGCAUUUAAGAUUUUUAAUACAUACAUCUUCAUUUAAAUUUUCGAGGCCGUUACAGUUGGUAUCAGAGCCGCGUUCCUCGGACCCAUCCCUUACACAAUAAUGCUUAGAGAAAUAUUCACCGAUAAACCGUUACUCAACCAUUCCUUAUGAAAUGCAGGUGCAAAGAGAUGAGGAGAGGAAGACCCCCACUAAACUGAGCAGCCCGGGAUAAUUCACUUCGAGAGGAUGUAGACAGGUUAUUUGAGAUGAUAGAAGGAUUCAUAGCUGCCCAGCAAGGGCGAGAAGAGAUCAGGCAACACUUGUUAGUACUGGAGCUCAAGACAUAUUCAGCAGUCCUAGCAAAGGCACAGAUCGUGGAAAGAAGAUUCAGCACCCGUCCUCAGCCAGGAGGGAGUUCCCGACCCUUAGCUCCGUUCCGCAGGCCAGCACCUACUGGUCCUACCCAACCAAAUAAGAGGCCCAGACCAGCCAUCCAGGCCCCUCCUCAGGCUCCAGGGGCAGCACGUGGGAAGAUUUGUCAGCACUGUGGCAGAGAUCACAGGGACCGACCCUGCUACCGCCUCAACAACACUUGUCGCAUUUGUGGCAGUGCCCAGCAUUAUGCAAGAGAAUGCCCGAGGAACCAGAAUCAAGGAAGGCCUCCUAUCUAGGGCAGAGCUUACAACCUUACCCAGAAGGAUGCAGACGCCGACCCAUAUGUGGUACAGGGUAUGUAUACUAUCUGUGACCAUAUUGCUCAUGUUUUAUUUGACACUAGUGCAUCGCACUCUUUUGUUUCACAUAUUUUUGCUUCUAAAAUUAAUGUAUCACCUGAUAAACUUGAUUCAUUGUUGUUUGUGUUUACUGCCGGGGGUGAAACACUACUAGGAAAAGUUAUCUAUAGGGCUUGUGCCGUGGAGAUAGCAAAUAGAAAACUGAGUGUAGACCUGAUAAGGUUAGACACGGGGGAUUUUGAUGUAAUCUUAGGAAUAUAUUGGCUAACGGCAUAUCACGCCACCAUAGAUUGCUUUAACAAAAAUGUUGUAUUUAAUCCUCCUAACGAGGAGUCAUUUACAAAUUAAUAAAAUUAUUCAGUACUUAUUCCUUAAUGGCAAGUUUUCUUAACUUCUAGUGCCUUAAUCUUGCUGUUUUCUCUGAUUAGGCAAGCCCAAGAAGGAAAUUUGUAUUCAAGAGAUUCCGGUAGUCCGAGACUUCCCAGAUGUGUUUCCGAACGAACUGCUCAGUCUGCUAAUAGACAGAGAAGUCGAGUUCACUAUAGACCUACAGCCAGGUACCCAGCCCAUUUCGGUUGCUCCUUACCGCAUGAGCCGCAUUGAGAUGGAAGAGCUGAGGAAACAGAUCACUGAAUUACAAGACAGUGGUUUUAUUAGACACAGUGUGUCCCCUUGGGGUGCCGGAGUCACUUUUGCAAGGAAGGGAGAUGGAACGUUGAGACUGUGCAUUGAUUACAGAGGAUUGAACAAGGUUAUGAUCAAAAAUAAGUAUCCCUUUCCCCAGAUUGAUGACCUCUUUGAUCAGCUGCAGGGUGCACAGGUCUUCUCUAAAAUAGACCUACGAUCAGGUUACCAUAAGGUGAAGAUAAGAACAGAAGACAUUUCCAAAACGGCCUUCCGAACCAGGUACGAACACUAUGAGUUCCUGGUCAUGCCAUUUGGGCUAACCAGUGCCCCUGCAAUCUUUAUGGAUCUGAUGAACAGGGUCUUCAGAGAGUUCUUGGAUCAAUUUGUCAUCGUGUUCAUCGAUGAUAUCUUAGUCUACUCAAAAAGUAGAGAAUAACAUGUUCACCAUCUUGCCCAAGUUUUGCAGGUCCUUAGAAACAAGAGGUUAUAUGCGAAGUUGAGUAAGUGUAGAUUCUGGCUUGAGCAGACUGCCUUCCUAGGACACAUCAUAUCGAAGGAAGGGGCAUCAGUGAAUCCCAAAAAGGUUGAAGCGGUACUUGGCUGGGAGAAGCUGACAUCAGUUAAGGAAAUCCGUAGCUUCCUGGGAAUGGUAGGUUAUUACCGCAGGUUCAUUGAAGGAAUCUCAAGUCUAGCAGCUCCUCUAACCCGACUCACAAAGAAAAAUGCCAAGUUUGAGUGGAAUGAGGACUGCGAGAGAAGUUUUUCAGAAUUAAAGAAGUGGCUGACCACUGCACCCGUGCUGGCUUUACCGAGUGGAUCAGGAGGAUAUACAGUUUAUAGUGAUGACUCCUAUCUGGGCCUGGGUUGUGUUCUGAUGCAGCAUGGAAAGGUUAUAGCAUAUGGGUCCAGACAGUUAAAGAAUCAUGAGAAGAACUAUCCCACCCAUGACUUGGAGCUUGCCGCAAUCAUUCACGCCUUGAAAACCUGGCGCCAUUAUUUGUACGGAGAGACCUUUCAGAUCUAUACCGAUCAUAAGAGUUUGAAACACAUAUUCACUCAGAAGGAUCUCAACAUGCAUCAGAGAAUGUGGAUGGAACUCCUUAAGGACUAUGAUUGUGAUAUCUUAUACCAUCUAGGUAAGGGCAACGUGGUAGCAGAUGCUCUCAGCAGGAAAAGUGCAGGUGUCUUAGCUCAUUUGAUGGUUUCAAAGUACAGACCAAUUGGGGCCACACAACAGGUUCGACUUCAGGAUCUGAAGAGAGUCACAUGUUUGGACCGCCUGAAGUCCAGCCCGAGUUAAUCCAGAGAAUAAGGGAAGCCCAGACAGUUGACCCCGCUCUGGUAGCCCGCAAGAAGGAUGCAGAACAGGGAGGGAGCUCAGAAUUCUGAACCUCUGCAGAUGGAUUACUUCAUUUUCAAGACAGGGUGUGUGUCCCAGAUGACAGUGAGUUAAAAAGAGAUAUCAUGACAGAGUCCCAUAGCUCGAAGUUUGCCAUGCAUCCAGGAAGAACCAAAAUGUACCAAAGCAUGCGACCCCGGUUUUGGUGGCAUGAGAUGAAAAGAGACAUAGCCGACUUUGUAUCUAAAUGCUUGGUAUGUCAGCAGGUCAAGGCAGAGCAUCAGCGCCCAGAUGGGUUACUUCAGCCUUUACCAAUCCCGGAGUGGAAGUGGAAACAUAUCACCAUGGACUUCGUAUCGGGGCUACCUAAGGCACGUUCAGGACAUGAUGCCAUAUGGGUAAUCGUUGACCGACUUACCAAGUCUUCCCACUUCCUAGCCAUCAAGAUGACCGAUUCAUUGGACAAGUUGGCAAGGAUGUAUAUCCGGGAGAUAGUCAGAUUGCAUGGGGUUCUAGUGACAGUAGUAUCCGACAGGGAUCUCAGGUUCACUUCUCGAUUUUGGAGUAGCUUCCAGCAUGCUAUGGGAACAAAGCUGUCUCUUAGUACUGCCUUCCAUCCCCAGACUGAUGGACAAUCAGAGAGGACAAUUUGUACGCUUGAGGAUAUGCUCCGAGCUUGUGUCCUGGACUCUGGGGGCCAUUGGGACUACCAUCUACCCUUGAUAGAGUUUGCCUACAACAACAGCUACUAAGCUAGCAUCGACAUGGCUCCAUAUGAGGCGUUAUAUGGGCACCCGUGCAGAUCACCAAUUUGUUGGGAGGAAGUGGACGAUAGAAGAUUGUUCGGCCCGGAGUUGGUAGAGGAGACCACGUCCAAAAUAAUUAAAAUCAGGAAGAACAUUCAGACAACUCAGAGUAGGCAGAAGAGUUAUGCAGAUAUCCGGAGGAGAGACCUAGUGUUUGAGAAAGGCGACCUGGUGUUUCUUAAGGUUACUCCUUUCAAGGGAAUUAGUAGGUUCGGCAUGAGGGGAAAAUUAAAGCCCCGAUAUAUUGAACCCUUUGAAAUCUUAGACAGGAUUGGUACUGCUUCCUACAGACUAGCACUGCCUCCAGAGCUCUCCAGAGUCCACAACGCGUUCCACGUAUCCAUGCUACGUAAGUACAACCCGGACCCUUCUCAUGUCUUGGCUCAUGAACCGCUUCCACUCCAAGAGGACUUGUCUUAUGAAGAAGUACCAGUCGGUAUCACGGACCGAAAGAGCAGGAUACUUUGCAACCGGGAAAUAUCUUUUGUAAAGGUCGUGUGGCAGAACCACACGCCCAGGGAGGCUACCUGGGAGCUAGAAUCAGAAUUUAGAGCUCAAUAUCCCCAUUUGUUCGACCAAGAGUAAGAGGCAAAUUUGGGGGACCAAAUUUCUUUAAGGGGGGAGAGUUGUAACACCCAAGUAUUUUAAUUUUAUUCUUAUUAUUUUUAUUUUCUUUUUUUUUGUAUUUGAAUUUUUUAGAUUUUUAUUUAAUUAAAUUUGAUUUAAUUUAAUUUAAUUUAAUUUAAUGAAAAUAAAAAUAAUAAUAAUGAUAAAAUUGGGUAAAAAAUAUUAUUUGGAUUUAAUUGAAAUUGAUUUUAGGAAAAAUGGGUGAAAAUUUGGAUUCUGGGGGUGUUUUUGAAAAGAAAAUCAUAAAUCAGGGGUCAAAACUCAAUUUAAAAAAGUUGUGCCACGUUAGCACCCACGUCAGCGACCCGGUCAGUAGCCCUGACCAACCAGGACACGCCGCGUGGCAAGGAAACGUUGACCAGGGGAUGGACCACGUGGGCGAUCCGCGUGCGCGCGAUCAGACGGCCCACAUUCGUUCCCGCAUGCACGGAUGGCCCAGAUCAAACGUGCGCAUGGACGGCCCAGAUUCACGCGUACGGACGGCCCAGAUUCAAUCAGGCACUGACGGCCCAGAUUUAAUUCCAAUUAAAUCGCGAUCGAACGGUUCAGAUUUAAUCUUGAUGGACGGUUGAGAUUAAAAGGCAAAAGGUAUAAAUAACCCCACCCACACCUGACCACAAAACCUUAGCCGCCAGUGCCUCGCCGGAGAAGAAGAACCAGACGCU
rnacentral:lncRNA from 1 species